UCCUUGCUCUGGUUCUCUGGCUUUGUUGUUCAGCUGAGGUACCUCAGAAGUUCAAGGUGAAUAGGAGGAAGUCCUUCUUUGGACUUCCUGUCAAACCUCCUUGUCUUCUCUCUCAUGUUUCACUUCAGUCGCCGGAACUCAGAAAAGCAUGUUGCAGAGAGAAAACUCCCCAAACGCCAGGAAGGGUCGGUAGCUGUUGGCAGGGGCAAGAGAGAGGGGCCAGCUUCUCUACCUAAUAGAUGAGAAACCUUUGCUUCCUUCUGUGGACAAGCCGGAACGUGGCAGUAUUGGCGGGGGGGUGGGGGAGAUGGAGCACAAGAAUAAAAAGCAAAAGGUAUUUAAGCCCCUGGCAACAGCCUCUCACGGUGAAAGGAAGAUUUGAGGUUAGAAAGAACAGCAAGAUUAGGGGAUCAUGUAUGUUUUAGGUGAAGUCAAAGCAUCGAGAAAGUAAGUCUACCACCGCUUCCUGGGGACCUCCACGGUUUGGAGACAAGAAUGUUCCCCUAGCUGCUGGAUACACUGGCCUUCGUCCCCAACAGCCACCUUCCACAACCAAUAUGUCCAUGAUCUAGAACCUCCCCAUUUUGACCCCUGUGUUGAUACAAGAAUAGCAAUGACCUGCUUAUGCUGGCUCUGAAGAUGCUAUCCAUACAAUAACUCAGCAGAGAAACACCAGGAAACUACCGACCAAGGGAUCAUUUGCCUGCAGUGAUAUCGUCAUUGAGCAUCCUGGUUAUUCAGUUACAUGGUGAGCAGUGCAACACGUGCCCCUUCCUGAUAGAGUCUGCGCUGCCAGAGGAUGCUCAGCUGGACACUUCGAGUUUUGAGUGCUUGCGCCUCUCUGAAGCUUAAGUGAGCAUGUCCUUGCGGAGCUUCAUGCCACUGUGACUGAAGACUGCUGAAAGAUGAAGUCCUUUUUUAAAGUUGGAAUGACUUGAAAUCAUCAACAGGAACCCCGUGACCUACUUGGGCCCUGAAGGACUCGAGAUGACUCAUGCUAGGGGUGCUAAGCCUUAGCGCGAAGCUCAGAUCUGCAUCUCUGCUAGGUGAAUAGAGGGAGACCGUGCUUAGUCCAGCGCCUGACUGUGUGGCAGUCACAUGGCUGAAUGUGCCAGCUACAUCCUGAACAUGGCUUGGAAGAGGAAGAAAGGGCAACGGAAGAGGCUACUGUGUUCCUACUUCUCUGUUUAAGAAAUAGGAGGGCCGUGGGCACAGUCAGGGUUAGCUCUAGGUGUUCCUUCAGAGCCUCUAACUUUGUCUGACGAGAGACCCUGAGACCUAAGACACAGGGCAUCUUGCUAGGCUCUUCACCAGCCACCGUUGUCAGUUUUGUCACCUGCUUCCCAUACCAAUGUUGUUUGAUUGUUUACACACCGGCAAUGUCCACUAACGCAGUGCCACGCUGUGUUUAACUCUUUGAACCCUGGGACAUGUAUCCAAAGGCUUCCAUUAUAUAGAGCUGGGUCCUAACGGGUCUUGGCUCCACAGCGACAGCCUUAGGCAUCUUUUAGUGAUGGUUCUGGAUGUUCUGCUUGGGCCACAGUGCUCCUUCCUGCCCCAUCCCAAGAAAAUUCUUUUGAAACCAUGUUCUCUUCCAUUUGUCUCAGUCUUCGGUCGACCCAGGGGGCUGUCGGCACUUUUCACUCAGCUGGGCUUCUUGCUCGGCUCCCAAGAGAGCCACUGCCAUUGUUAAAGCUCCAUGCUUGAUUCAGCUCACUUACUCAUUCAUUAAACAAAUAUUUUUAAUCA